UGAGGAAUAUUGGUCAAUGGACGAGAGCCUGAACCAGCCAAGUAGCGUGCAGGAUGACGGCCCUAUGGGUUGUAAACUGCUUUUAUAUGGGAAUAAAGUGAGGGACGUGUCCCUUAUUGCAUGUACCAUACGAAUAAGGACCGGCUAAUUCCGUGCCAGCAGCCGCGGUAAUACGGAAGGUCCACGCGUUAUCCGGAUUUAUUGGGUUUAAAGGGAGCGUAGGCUGUUUGUUAAGCGUGUUGUGAAAUGUAGGAGCUCAACUUUUAGAUUGCAGCGCGAACUGGCAGACUUGAGUGCGCACAACGUAGGCGGAAUUCAUGGUGUAGCGGUGAAAUGCUUAGAUAUCAUGACGAACUCCGAUUGCGAAGGCAGCUUACGGGAGCGCAACUGACGCUAAAGCUCGAAGGUGCGGGUAUCGAACAGG
rnacentral:rRNA from 1 species